GACGAACCGUGCAAACGUUAUUCGGAAUCACUGGGCUUAAAGCGCGUGUAGGCGGUCCGGCACGUCUGGUGCUGAAAGCCCCCGGCUCAACCGGGGAACGGGCACGGAUACGACCGGACUGGAGGGGGGUAGGGGGCGCCGGAACUUCCGGUGGAGCGGUGAAAUGCGUUGAGAUCGGAAGGAACGCCCGUGGCGAAAGCGGGCGCCUGGACCCCGCCUGACGCUGAGACGCGAAAGCCAGGGGA
rnacentral:rRNA from 1 species